rnacentral:rRNA from 1 species
UAACCUGCCCAAGAGAUCGGGAUAACACCUGGAAACAGAUGCUAAUACCGGAUAACAACAGAUGAUGCCUAUCAACUGUUUAAAAGAUGGUUCUGCUAUCACUCUUGGAUGGACCUGCGGUGCAUUAGCUAGUUGGUAGGGUAACGGCCUACCAAGGCGAUGAUGCAUAGCCGAGUUGAGAGACUGAUCGGCCACAUUGGGACUGAGACACGGCCCAAACUCCUACGGGAGGCAGCAAU